rnacentral:rRNA from 1 species
GUGCCAGCCGCCGCGGUAAGACAGAGGUGGCAAGCGUUGUUCGGAAUUACUGGGCUUAAAGGGCGCGUAGGUGGUGGCGUAAGUCCGGGGUGGAAGUCUGAGGCUUAACCUCAGGAUUGCCCCGGAAACUGCAUCACUUGAGUCAGCGAGGGGAUGGCGGAAUUCCCGGUGUAGCGGUGAAAUGCGUAGAUAUCGGGAGGAAGGCCGGUGGCGAAGGCGGCCAUCUGGCGCUGAACUGACACUGAGGCGCGAAAGCGUGGGGAGCAAACAGGAUUAGAAACCCCGGUAGUCC